rnacentral:rRNA from 1 species
AGUGCAUGUGGUGGAUGCCUUGGCGAUUACAGGCGAUGAAGGACGCGAUAGCCUGCGAAAUGCUUCGGGGAGUUGGCAAAUAAGCUUUGAUCCGAAGAUGUCCGAAUGGGGAAACCUACCCGCAAGGGUAUCUCAUGCUGAAUACAUAGGCAUGUGAGGCAAACCUGGUGAACUGAAACAUCUAAGUAGCCAGAGGAAAAGAAAUCAACCGAGAUUCCGAAAGUAGUGGCGAGCGAAAUCGGACCAGCCUGCAAGAUUUAGCUUCGACGUUAGCAAAACGGUCUGGAAAGUCCGGCGACAGUGGGUGAUAGCCCCGUAUGCGAAAACGUUGAUGUGGAACUAGGCUUGCGACAAGUAGGGCGGGACACGUGAAAUCCUGUCUGAAGAUGGGGGGACCAUCCUCCAAGGCUAAAUACUCGUAAUCGACCGAUAGUGCACCAGUACCGUGAGGGAAAGGCGAAAAGAACCCCGGGAGGGGAGUGAAAUAGAUCCUGAAACCGCAUGCAUACAAACAGUCGGAGCCUCGCAAGGGGUGACGGCGUACCUUUUGUAUAAUGGGUCAGCGACUUACAUUCAGUGGCAAGCUUAACCGUAUAGGGGAGGCGCAGGGAAACCGAGUCUUAAUAGGGCGUCUAGUCGCUGGGUGUAGACCCGAAACCGGAUGAUCUAUCCAUGGCCAGGGUGAAGGUGAGGUAACACUCACUGGAGGCCCGAACCCACUAGUGUUGAAAAACUAGGGGAUGAGCUGUGGAUAGGGGUGAAAGGCUAAACAAAUCCGGAAAUAGCUGGUUCUCUCCGAAAACUAUUUAGGUAGUGCCUCGUGUAUUGCUCCAGGGGGUAGAGCACUGUAAUGGUUGGGGGGCUCAUUGCGAGUUACCUCGCCAUAGCAAACUCCGAAUACCUGGAAGUAUGAGCACGGGAGACAGACGCCGGGUGCUAACGUCCGACGUCAAGAGGGAAACAACCCAGACCGCCAGCUAAGGUCCCCAAGAUUGGCUAAGUGGGAAACGAAGUGGGAAGGCUAAAACAGUCAGGAGGUUGGCUUAGAAGCAGCCACCCUUUAAAGAAAGCGUAAUAGCUCACUGAUCGAGUCGUCCUGCGCGGAAGAUGUAACGGGGCUAAGCCAGUCACCGAAGCUGCGGAUCACAGUAAUGUGAUGGUAGGAGAGCGUUCCGUAGGCCUGUGAAGGUGUCUUGUAAAGGAUGCUGGAGGUAUCGGAAGUGCGAAUGCUGACAUGAGUAGCGAUAAAGCGGGUGAAAAGCCCGCUCGCCGUAAACCCAAGGUUUCCUACGCAACGUUCAUCGGCGUAGGGUGAGUCGGCCCCUAAGGCGAGGGCGAGAGCCGUAGCUGAUGGGAAUCCGGUUAAUAUUCCGGAACCGCCGUCAAGUGCGAUGUGGGGACGGAGAAGGUUACCUCAGCCAACUGUUGGAAUAGUUGGUUUAAGCGUGUAGUCGUGCCGCCUAGGCAAAUCCGGGCGGCUUAGAUAAGGCGUGAUGACGAGCGGACAUGUCCGUGAAGUGAGCGAUACCAUGCUUCCAAGAAAAGCCACUAAGCUUCAGCUUGACGGGACCGUACCGCAAACCGACACAGGUGGGUGUGAUGAGUAUUCUCAGGCGCUUGAGAGAACUCGGGAGAAGGAACUCGGCAAAUUUGUACCGUAACUUCGGGAUAAGGUACGCCCUAAGUAAGUGAAGUUGUACAAACGGAGCUGAACAGGGCCGCAGUGAAUAGGUGGCUGCGACUGUUUAAUAAAAACACAGCACUCUGCAAACACGAAAGUGGACGUAUAGGGUGUGACGCCUGCCCGGUGCCGGAAGGUUAAGUGAUGGGGUGCAAGCUCUUGAUCGAAGCCCCGGUAAACGGCGGCCGUAACUAUAACGGUCCUAAGGUAGCGAAAUUCCUUGUCGGGUAAGUUCCGACCUGCACGAAUGGCGUAACGAUGGCCACACUGUCUCCUCCCGAGACUCAGCGAAGUUGAAAUGUUUGUGAUGAUGCAAUCUCCCCGCGGCUAGACGGAAAGACCCCAUGAACCUUUACUGUAGCUUUGCAUUGGACUUUGAACCGAUCUGUGUAGGAUAGGUGGGAGGCUUUGAAGCGAGGACGCUAGUUCUCGUGGAGCCGUCCUUGAAAUACCACCCUGGUUUGUUUGAGGUUCUAACCUUGGCCCGUUAUCCGGGUCGGGGACAGUGCAUGGUAGGCAGUUUGACUGGGGCGGUCUCCUCCUAAAGGGUAACGGAGGAGUUCGAAGGUACGCUAGGCACGGUCGGACAUCGUGCUAAUAGUGCAAGGGCAUAAGCGUGCUUAACUGCGAGACCGACAAGUCGAGCAGGUACGAAAGUAGGACCUAGUGAUCCGGUGGUUCUGUAUGGAAGGGCCAUCGCUCAACGGAUAAAAGGUACUCUGGGGAUAACAGGCUGAUACCGCCCAAGAGUUCAUAUCGACGGCGGUGUUUGGCACCUCGAUGUCGGCUCAUCACAUCCUGGGGCUGUAGCCGGUCCCAAGGGUAUGGCUGUUCGCCAUUUAAAGUGGUACGUGAGCUGGGUUUAAAACGUCGUGAGACAGUUUGGUCCCUAUCUGCCGUGGGCGUUGGAAGUUUGACGGGGGCUGCUCCUAGUACGAGAGGACCGGAGUGGACGAACCUCUGGUGUACCGGUUGUCACGCCAGUGGCAUCGCCGGGUAGCUAAGUUCGGAAGAGAUAACCGCUGAAAGCAUCUAAGCGGGAAACUUGCCUGAAGAUGAGACUUCCCUGGAGACUUGAUCUCCCUAAAGAGCCGUUCGAGACCAGGACGUUGAUAGGCUGGGUGUGGAAGUGCAGUAAUGCAUUAAGCUAACCAGUACUAAUUGCUCGUGAGGCUUGACU